AUUGCUUCUCGGCCUUUUGGCUAAGAUCAAGUGUAGUAUCUGUUCUUAUCAGUUUAAUAUCUGAUACGUCCUCUAUCCGAGGACAAAAAAAAAAAAAGUCUCAAAACCAAUGGUGGGUAGACCUCCAUGGGACAAAAA
rnacentral:snRNA from 1 species